GACAGAGGGUGCAAACGUUGCUCGGAAUCACUGGGCGUAAAGGGCGUGUAGGCGGGAGGCUAAGUCGGGCGUGAAAUCCCUGGGCUCAACCCAGGAACUGCACUCGAAACUGCCCUUCUUGAGUAUCGGAGAGGAAAGCGGAAUUCCUGGUGUAGAGGUGAAAUGCGUAGAUAUCUGGAGGAACACCGGUGGCGAAGGCGGCAUCCUGGACCGGCAUUGACGCUGAGGAGCGAAAGCCAGGGGAGCAAACGGG
rnacentral:rRNA from 1 species